rnacentral:rRNA from 1 species
CCCUUAGAUGUUCUGGGCCGCACGCGCGCUACACUGACGAAUGCAACGAGCUUAUAACCUUGGCCGAAAGGUCUGGGUAAUCUCCAAAUUUCGUCGUGAUGGGGAUAGAUUAUUGCAAUUAUUAAUCUUCAACGAGGAAUGCCUAGUAAGCGCGAGUCAUCAGCUUGCGUUGAUUACGUCCCUGCCCUUUGUACACACCGCCCGUCGCUCCUACCGAUUGAAUGGUCCGGUGAAGCGUUCGGACCGUGGCCUUUGGACGGUUCGCCGUCUGUUGGCUGCGGGAAGUUCGUUAAACCUUAUCACUUAGAGGAAGGUGAAGUCGUAACA